UUGGAAAUGAGUUUUCAGAAUAAGUGUGA
rnacentral:piRNA from 1 species